rnacentral:rRNA from 1 species
AGUGAACGCUGGCGGCAGGCCUAACACAUGCAAGUCGAACGGUAGCACAGCGAGAGGUUGCUCUUACGGGGGGCCGGUGGCGGAAUGCUGAGGAACAUACCGGAAUCUAUAGUUUCGUGGGGGAUAACGUAGUGAAACAUACGAUAAUACCGCAUACUACCUACGGGUGAAAGCAGGGGGUCUUGGGACCUUAGGCGACGGUAUGAGACGAUGUCGGAUUAGUUAGUUGGCGGGGUAAAGGCCCACCAAGGCGACGAUCCGUAGCUGGUCUGACACGAUGAUCAGCCACACUGGAACUGAGAUACGGUCCAGACUCCUACGGGAGGGAGCAGUGGGGAAUGUUGGACAAUGGGCGCAAGCCUGAUCCAGCCAUGCCGCGUGGGUGAAGAAGGCCUUCGGGUUGUAAAGCUCUUUUGUUUGGAAAGAAAAGGAGCAGGUUAAAACCCUGCUGUUCUGACGGUACCCAAAGAAUAAGCACCGGCUAACUUCGUG